rnacentral:rRNA from 1 species
CCAGGUUGAUUCUGCCUGACGUAGACGCUAUUCCCUAAGAUUAACCCAUGCAUGUUAUUGAUUUUUGAAAAAUGGACUGCUCAGUAAUACUCACUUUAUUUUAUGUAUACUUAUUAUAACUACGUUAAAGUGUAGAUAAAAUGUAUACAGUAAGAGUGAGACCUAUCAGCUAGUUGUUAAGGUAAUGGCUUAACAAGGCAGUGACGGGUAACGGUAUUACUUUGUAAUAUUCCGGAGAAGGAGCCUGAGAGACGGCUACUAAGUCUAAGGAUUGCAGCAGGGGCGAAACUUGACCUAUGGAUUUUAUCUGAGGCAGUUAUGGGAAGUAAUAUUAUAUUGUUUCAUAUUUUAAAAGUAUAUGAGGUGAUUAAUUGGAGGGCAAAUCAAGUGCCAGCAGCCGCGGUAAUACUUGUUCCAAGAGUGUGUAUGAUGAUUGAUGCAGUUAAAAAGUCCGUAGUUUAUUUUUUAAGAAGCAAUAUGAGGUGUACUGUAUAGUUGGGAGAGAGAUGAAAUGUGACGACCCUGACUGGACGAACA